CAUUUUAGAAAUGGGGAAAUCCUCUGUGGUAACACAGCAGUGGUACACUGCACAGUUCACAGGAACCACCUUGUCCUGAUAUGGUGUGAAUAUAUCCCCUCCUGACUUGGUCUGACUGCAGAGGACUUGGAGCUGUGCAGAGAAGGGACAGUGCCCUGUGAGGAGACAGAGGGGCAUGGCUGGGGGCAGAGGAGAGGCCCGGACCCUUCACCACCAUCUGCAGAAAGAGCAGCCACCCUCCCACUGCUGUCACACACAACAACACUUGUGCAAGUGAGGAGACCCCACACAUGGAGAAGCUCUCUGGUUCCUAAUUUCAGUAGAUGGAUGGGUGAAUGGAUGAACAGAUGGAUGGUCAUACAGCUUGCACUCUGCAUAUUAACCUGUAGUUUUACUGCACAUUACACAAACGUGCAGAUACAUCUGUGCAACUUUACCAACGCUUCAAGCCAGCUGUGAGCCAGCACCAAUCCAGAAGCCAUGUAAUUGUGACAGUGUAUACU
rnacentral:lncRNA from 1 species